rnacentral:lncRNA from 1 species
CUACAUUACAACCAUGCAUGUCAAAUCAUAUCAAUGGAAGAAAGAAAUAUUUGAAAAUUCCCUUUGUAAAUAAGACAAGACGGACGGACAGGCGGACAGGCGGACAGACCGGCAGACAGACAUUGCUCUAUCGACUCGGCUAUUGAUGCUAACCAAGAACAUAUUAUUAUGGGGAUUAUGGGUUCGGAAAUGCUUCCUUCUGUGCCUUAGAUACAACCUUCGAGUUGUACAACCUUUACUCUUCGAGUACCGGGUAUAAAAAAAAGUUAUGGACACAUAUUGUCAUGGGAAGCCAUAGAGCAUCCGAUAGAGCAAGCAAAUUCAAUGCCAGUAGGAAAGAAAUUUAACUUACUAUUAAAUAAAUUAAACCAAUAUAAAUAAAGACAAAUAUAAAUAGAAACAAAACCAAAUUGGGGACGCUUUAAAUAUCAUAAGUAGGACUAUGAAUUCUUUUGGACGUUGAUAUGCAACGACUGCACCAUCAAGUGGCCCAUGCGACGCCAAGCCAAAGCCUGCAGAACCCUCCUCCCGCCCAACCGACCGAGGGGCGCUGCCGCAUGACGCGCGGCGCGAUUAACCGAACCGGUCGCGAGCGUGCAGGAAAGAUAGAUGUUAGGCUAAUAUUCGAGGAAAAUUAGAACUAAACACAACUAAACUAAAGAAAGUAUAGCUAAGCAAGCAAACCUAUCAAAGUC